GAUGAACGCUGGCGGCGUGCCUAAUACAUGCAAGUCGAGCGAACGGACGAGAAGCUUGCUUUUCUGAUGUUAGCGGCGGACGGGUGAGUAACACGUGGAUAACCUACCUAUAAGACUGGGAUAACUUCGGGAAACCGGAGCUAAUACCGGAUAAUAUUUUGAACCGCAUGGUUCAAAAGUGAAAGACGGUCUUGCUGUCACUUAUAGAUGGAUCCGCGCUGCAUUAGCUAGUUGGUAAGGUAACGGCUUACCAAGGCAACGAUGCAUAGCCGACCUGAGAGGGAGAUCGGCCACACUGGAACUGAGACACGGACCAGACUCCUACGGGAGGCAGCAGUAGGGAAUCUUCCGCAAUGGGCGAAAGCCUGACGGAGCAACGCCGCGUGAGUGAUGAAGGUCUUCGGAUCGUAAAACUCUGUUAUUAGGGAAGAACAUAUGUGUAAGUAACUGUGCACAUCUUGACGGUACCUAAUCAGAAAGCCACGGCUAACUACGUG
rnacentral:rRNA from 1 species